rnacentral:rRNA from 1 species
GACGAACGCUGGCGGCGUGCUUAACACAUGCAAGUCGAGCGGUAAGGCCCUUUCGGGGGUACACGAGCGGCGAACGGGUGAGUAACACGUGGGCGACCUGCCUUUAGCUCUGGGAUAAGCCUGGGAAACCGGGUCUAAUACCGGAUAUGACUCCGCGGCGCAUGUUGUGGGGUGGAAAGCCUUGUGCGGCUGGAGAUGGGCCCGCGGCCUAUCAGCUUGUUGGUGGGGUGAUGGCCUACCAAGGCGACGACGGGUAGCCGGCCUGAGAGGGCGACCGGCCACACUGGGACUGAGACACGGCCCAGACUCCUACGGGAGGCAGCAGUGGGGAAUCUUGCGCAAUGGGCGAAAGCCUGACGCAGCGACGCCGCGUGAGGGAUGACGGCCU